GCCCUUCCCUGCUUUUGAUUAAAUCUUAUCCAUCCUUUAAGGCCCAGUUCAAAUUUCACUUCGAUUACAGUCAAUCUUCUCAACCCCAUGGAAUAAAGAGUUGCUCCCUCUCUACUACAAGAUCUGUGGUGGUUCAUGGUCUCUAAUUCCUAACCCCUGCUACCUGAUUUCCUUGGACUCGGAUCUCUUAGACCAUCUUGCAAAUGACAUUCAGCAAUACUCAGAGUAAAGACUUUAAGAAGACCCUGAGAAGAAACAGAAGUGAAAAAAACAGAAGUUGUCAAGAACACAGAAGACCACCCCAUCCACUGACUGAGAAAAAUAAAGUUGGACUGUCACAGAAGAAAUGGAAUAGUUGCUGGUGUUUUAAGCUAAGAGUAAAAGAAGAAAAGAAAAAAAAGAAAGAGAUAGUUAACUUCUCAGAGGAGGAAAUAGGAAAGGAUGGGAGUGAUGCAAAAACAGCAGAGCAAAGAUCUCCAAACAUUCUCUCCUCCAUAAAACCAACAAUAAAACUAGCAAAAACUGUCAAAAUCAACUUUUCCAGAACUCUGGAAAUUAAUUCAAAACUUGCAAUAUUCUAAACAGUGUUCUUUCAAGAAAAACAGCCAUAUCUUGGUAAGAAAAUGAGCUUUGCAGUUUCAGUGCGCCCUUAUUUCCAUUCUUCUUCCCCUGAUCCAGCUCUGUAGUAUCCUUGAAAAUCAACAUCCCACAACUGUGGUAAAAACUAGUAGCCUGACAGUCAUCAAAGGGGACAGAUCGGGGUUGGAGCUCCUUCAAAACCACAUAUCCAGAUAAUUAUCAUUAUUUCAACUAUCUGAUGGUUCCCUGGAAGGCCCCACAUAUAGAGAUGUCUUUAUUUGAUUUAAAUUGGGGUUUGUCUAGUGCAAAAAGUCUUCUCGGGAGACAUUUGUUGAAAAUAAUUAAAGGCAAAUAUUUAACAUUACAUAUGCCUGAGGCAGUAUAUAACAGGGCACACAACUGACUAACUAAAAAGCUUGAAAGGAAAAACUGGGCUAUGAGAUAUCCAUAGAUGACUUUAAAGGCUCUGACAUAUUCCUGGGAUUCUAUAAGGCUACAUACAUGCAUAGGGCUGUGCAUAAGCUCAGAAAAGACUGAGAAGGUUCUAAGCAGCUCUCACCUAUGACUGACCUUGAAGCUCUGUACAAGCAGGAAGUGAAGCCUAAAGCAGAGUUGUCAAAUGCCUGAGUGUUUAAGGUAUGUGCCAAUACACACAUAUAGUUCUUCAGCAAAGACUGGGAACUUAUCAGGUCCAGGUUUUUAAGGAAAUCUGCAUCCAAUCAUUAGCUGGCCACUAAGCUAACCAAGCAGGGACUUUAGUGGUC